rnacentral:piRNA from 1 species
AUCAUGCAAGAGGUCUAGUGAGGAGGAC